ensembl:snRNA U4 U4 spliceosomal RNA
AGCUUUAUGCAGUGGCAGUAUCAAAGCCAAUUAAGGCUUAUCUGAGGUGUAAUUAUUGCUAAUUGAAAACUUUUCCCAAUACUCCACCAUGAUGACUUGAAAUAUAGUCAGCAUUGGCAAUUUUUGACAGUCUGAAAUUUACAAUUAAAAAAAAGA